AAUCAACGCUGGCGGCGUGCCUAACACAUGCAAGUCGAACGCGAAAGUCCCGCAAGGGAUUAGUAGAGUGGCAAACGGGUGAGUAACACGUGGGUGACCUGCCUUCGAGUGGGGAUAACGUCCCGAAAGGGACGCUAAUACCGCAUAACAUCCUGCCUUUGAAGAGGUGGAGAUCAAAGCUGGGGACCGCAAGGCCUGGCGCUGGAAGAGGGGCCCGCGUCUGAUUAGCUAGNGGUGAGGUAACGGCUCACCAAGGCAACGAUCAGUAUCCGGCCUGAGAGGGCGGACGGACACACUGGGACUGAGACACGGCCCAGACUCCUACGGGAGGCAGCAGUGGGGAAUUGUUCGCAAUGGGCGCAAGCCUGACGACGCAACGCCGCGU
rnacentral:rRNA from 1 species